GCGUUCUUAGCUCAGUAGGUUAGAGUAUCAUUAUGACAUAGUGAUGGUCAGAGGUUCGAAUCCUCUAGAACGCA
rnacentral:tRNA from 3 species